CUACGGGAUGCAGCAGUGGGGAAUCUUGGACAAUGGGCGCAAGCCUGAUCCAGCCAUGCCGCGUGAGUGAAGAAGGCCUUAGGGUCGUAAAGCUCUUUCGCCAGAGAUGAUAAUGACAGUAUCUGGUAAAGAAACCCCGGCUAACUCCGUGCCAGCAGCCGCGGUAAUACGGAGGGGGUUAGCGUUGUUCGGAAUUACUGGGCGUAAAGCGCGCGUAGGCGGAUUAGUCAGUCAGAGGUGAAAUCCCAGGGCUCAACCCUGGAACUGCCUUUGAUACUGCUAGUCUUGAGUUCGAGAGAGGUGAGUGGAAUUCCGAGUGUAGAGGUGAAAUUCGUAGAUAUUCGGAGGAACACCAGUGGCGAAGGCGGCUCACUGGCUCGAUACUGACGCUGAGGUGCGAAAGUGUGGGGAGCAAACAGGAUUAGAUACCCGUGUAGUC
rnacentral:rRNA from 1 species